rnacentral:lncRNA from 1 species
AGCUCCAAUUGUUACAAAUGAUAAUAGAUAAUUUACAUAGAAACUCAAUUGAUCUCAACUGACAACUAAUUGAGCAUUUAAAGGAAUAUGGGAUAUUACAUUCUCCCCCCCCCUUAAAUUGAAAUUCGCCCCCGAAUUUCCUUCACUCAACAAACAAACAAUCCUUAUAUCAACGUCUUAGACCAACACUUGACCUCUCUUCGAUUUCAAGUCUCUGACAUACUCAUUAUUCUAACUUGUAUUUGCUAUCAAAUUUCCUUCUUCAUAAACUCUUGAAACUUCUUGAUUUUCAUGUUAACCGGUUACCUCAAAAGUGUUAACCGGAAGGAAAAAU